rnacentral:rRNA from 1 species
UACGGAGGGUGCAAGCGUUAUCCGGAAUCACUGGGUUUAAAGGGUGCGUAGGUGGCUUUAUAAGUCAGCUGUGAAAUGUCUGGGCUUAACCGAGGCAUUGCGGUUGAUACUGUAGGGCUUGAAUCAAGUUGAGGUAGCUAGAAUGUGACAUGUAGCGGUGAAAUGCAUAGAUAUGUCAUAGAAUACCAAUUGCGAAGGCAGGUUGCUAGACUUUGAUUGACACUGAGGCACGAAAGCGUGGGGAUCAAACAGG